GAGAUUCUUACCAUUCCUUUCAUUUCUACCAAACUAAAAGCAAGAGAAUGGAGAAAAUAGAAGAAGAAGAAGAAGAAGAAGAAGAAGAAGAGCAAGGGAGGAGAAAGCAAGAGUUUCCUACCAAGUAAGAUGUGGAUUUAGGGAACCCUUCAGAGACUGUGACUGAGGAGCCGGCCCUCUACGGAGUUGACUUCAGGGACGAAGAAUUGGUCAUACAUGAGGACGAUUGUGUAUGCAACGAUUGUGCUUUCAGAGCACGUUGAAGAUGAGAGUAUCAUCUUCCCUUUUAAUCCUUUUGUUUACAUAUCAAAUGUAGCCCUAGGCGCAUAAUUGUAAUUAAUAUCCUGUUGCGAAAACAUUUUGUUAAAUAUGAUAUUUAUGAUUAGACUCCACCAGUCAUGUAUAUUUGACUCUUAUUAUUAUCUUGUGAUCAUAGAAUCAUUUCAUAA